CGGCCAGAAUGGCCAUUUUUACUGAAACUGUAUAAAUUUACGAUUUUAAACAUUUUUAUCGGCCAAUUUGGACUUACGAGAAUGAACUAAAAAUCUUUAAUCCUACUCAUAUUGUAGUGUUGCCUAUUUAGAGCACUUUUUAUUUGAAAGAGUUUUUCAAAAAAUGCCGAUUUUUGCCAUAAUCCAGAAUUUUCCUGGAAAAACAGGCCUUAAAGCGCAUAAAUUAAUAUACAGACAAAUCUUUUGUUCCAUCUGGCCAUCUGACAAAUUUUAUGACAGACCAAUCGGGAUAAAACUUAACCUUAUAUCCGCCAGAUUGUUUAUUUCCACAUUUGCCCCACAAAUUGUGCUUACCCCCAGGUAGCACAACUGACCAACUGAGAAAGAAACUAGAAAAGACGUCUGAAAGGCGUCAAAACUUGGACUUGGUCUAUUAGUCAGAUAUAUAUGGACGUCCGUAAGCUUUAUUUCAGACGUGAUGACGAAUUGUCUGUCUGUCAGCAUUGACUAAGGAUGAAUCCUAUAAUCAGGACACAAAAUUCAUUUAUUUCUUAUUUCCAAAAGCCAAAAUGAAAUAUAAUCUUUAAAGAUUAGAUAGAUUAGAUGAGAUAAAUUAAAAUCAACCUCUAUGAUUAGACAAAUUAACAAUAAUUCUCGUGUGUUCCUCUGUCUAAAGUAAAAUUAAUUGUGUGAUUGUUUAUUUGUCUAUUGUCUUUUACUUCUUGUCAAUUUGUUCGAGCCAAGUUUAUUGGAUUUUAGUUAGGUUCAAAACGCAGAACCCUGGCACUUUGGCAUUGUACUUGCCUUGUUUCAUGUGAUUUGUUAAUGGGCUGUUAGUUCAUUAUUAUACGAAACUUUUCACACAAAGGUGUGAAACUGUGAUAUACUUGUAAUGUAUCAAAUGGUACAGUCAGACGAACUUGCGGCAGUACCCGUGCAGUGAUCAACCAGAACUGGCUCGCACCAGUCAAGCAAGAGGUACUCACUGGUUUAGAAAGGCUCUCACUGAAGAAGUCCAAGUUGACAACAAUUGGAAGCCUUUUGGAACAAAAAGAGUUUUUUAUCUGUCCUCCGGUUUUUAUUAUGAUUUUUGUGGCUGGUCAGAACUGCUUUUAAUUAAUUAAAGUUGUAACCAUCUUUGCUUGAUUCCUGAAUCCUGAAUCAUAUUCAAGCAAUAAAAGCAAUUCUCAACGA